AUGAACGCUGGCGGCGUGCCUAAUACAUGCAAGUCGAGCGAACAGACGAGGAGCUUGCUCCUCUGACGUUAGCGGCGGACGGGUGAGUAACACGUGGAUAACCUACCUAUAAGACUGGGAUAACUUCGGGAAACCGGAGCUAAUACCGGAUAAUAUAUUGAACCGCAUGGUUCAAUAGUGAAAGACGGUUUUGCUGUCACUUAUAGAUGGAUCCGCGCCGCAUUAGCUAGUUGGUAAGGUAACGGCUUACCAAGGCAACGAUGCGUAGCCGACCUGAGAGGGUCAUCGGCCACAUUGGACCAGAAACUGGGUCAAGAAUCCUCCAGAAGGCAGCAGUAGGGAAUAUUCAGCACUGGGCGACCGCCUGCCGGAGCAACGCCGAGUGAGUGAUGAACGUCUUCGGAUCGGAAAACUCUGUUAUUGGGGAAGCACAAAUGUGUCAGUAACUAUGCACGUAUUGACGGUACCUCACCAGCCAGCCAAGGCUAACUACGUG
rnacentral:rRNA from 1 species